rnacentral:rRNA from 1 species
CGAACGGGUGAGUAAUGCAUCGGAACGUACCUUUCAGUGGGGGAUAACGUAGCGAAAGUUACGCUAAUACCGCAUAUUCUGUGAGCAGGAAAGCAGGGGAUCGCAAGACCUUGCGCUGAUUGAGCGGCCGAUGUCAGAUUAGCUAGUUGGUGAGGUAAAGGCUCACCAAGGCGACGAUCUGUAGCGGGUCUGAGAGGAUGAUCCGCCACACUGGAACUGAGACACGGUCCAGACUCCUACGGGAGGCAGCAGUGGGGAAUUUUGGACAAUGGGGGCAACCCUGAUCCAGCCAUGCCGCGUGAAGGAUGAAGGCCUUCGGGUCGUAAACUUCUGUCGAGAGGGAAGAAUGUGUACGGGUGAACAAUCCGUGCAUUUGACGGUACCUCCAAAGGAAGCACCGGCUAACUCCGUGCCAGCAGCCGCGGUAAUACGGAGGGUGCAAGCGUUGUUCGGAUUCAUUGGGCGUAAAGCGAGUGUAGGCGGUUUGACAAGUCGGAUGUGAAAUCCCGGGGCCCAAACCCGGAACUGCAUCCGAUACUGUCUGGCUAGAGUCCCGGAGAGGGUGGCGGAAUUCCCAGGUGUAAGGGUGAAAUCCGUAGA